AUGGAUGUGAAGUGGUAUCUCAUCAUAGAUUCGUUUUGUUUUUCCCUAGUGACUAAUGACGUUGAGCGUCUUUUCAUGUGCUUAUUGGCUAUUUGUACGUCUUCUUUGGAGAAAUGUCUGUUCAAGUCCUUGACCCAUUUUCACAAUGGAAAGUCUCCAGUUCAGAGCCAGUGGACGUUAGGGAAGGAAACUGGACCUGAGAGUGAUGUUUGGAGUUUGAAUUAACACCCAAGUUCUGAGAGGAGGCUGCUGGGCAUUGCAUCGGACCAGUCCCACUGGUAAGUGAACUCCAAACGUAGCAGUUGUCUCACAGGGCUUCCAGCAUGAUGACGUUUCAUAUUCGAUUUCCUUGCCCUUUCAUCAAAGUUUUCACUUUGAGUUUAGUCCGGAGGAUUUUUUUUAAUAUAGAAUUUGUUUCUGAGUUGUAAGUAAAUCUAUGGUUCUCUGAUUUAAGGACACAAUUGACAGUUGCAUCUUAGGUCACCUCACCACCACCACCACCAAUAAAAUAUAAUCUGAUAUAGCUCUAAAAAAGUAA
rnacentral:lncRNA from 1 species